UACGUAGGGGGCUAGCGUUGUCCGGAUUUAUUGGGCGUAAAGAGCGUGUAGGCGGCCAUACAGGUCCGUUGUGAAAACUGGAGGCUCAACCUCCAGACGUCGACGGAAACCGUAUGGCUAGAGUCCGGAAGAGGAGAGUGGAAUUCCUGGUGUAGCGGUGAAAUGCGCAGAUAUCAGGAAGAACACCCGUGGCGAAGGCGGCUCUCUGGGACGGUACUGACGCUGAGACGCGAAAGCGUGGGGAGCGAACAGG
rnacentral:rRNA from 1 species